rnacentral:rRNA from 1 species
GAUGAACGCUGGCGGCGUGCCUAAUACAUGCAAGUAGAACGCUGAAGCUUGGUGCUUGCACCGAGCGGAUGAGUUGCGAACGGGUGAGUAACGCGUAGGUAACCUGCCUCUUAGCGGGGGAUAACUAUUGGAAACGAUAGCUAAUACCGCAUAAAAGUCGACAUCGCAUGAUGUUGACUUGAAAGGUGCAAUUGCAUCACUAAGAGAUGGACCUGCGUUGUAUUAGCUAGUUGGUGAGGUAACGGCUCACCAAGGCGACGAUACAUAGCCGACCUGAGAGGGUGGUCGGCCACACGGGGACUGAGACACGGCCCAGACUCCUACGGGAGGCAGCAGUAGGGAAUCUUCGGAAAUGGGGGCAACCCUGACCGAGGAACGCCGCGUGAGUGGAGUAGGGUUUCGGAUCGUAAAGCUCUGUUGUAAGAGAAGAACGAGUGUGAGAGUGGAAAGUUCAACCUGUGGCGGUAACUUACCAGAAAGGGACGGCUAACUACGU